ensembl:lncRNA
CUCUGUCUCUCUCUCUGUCUCUCUCUCUCUCUCUCUCUCUCUCUCUCUCUCUCCCACAGUCUGUCAAAGGUGUGGUGUCAUUAACAAACAACGUAUUCACAGUACACAUCUCUCUCCAUUCUCUCCCUUUAUCCUCCCUCUGUAUCCAUCUGUCUCUGAGCCCUCCCUUCCUCCCCUCCUCCUCCUCCUUUUCCACCUAUCGUUCUCUCUCUACUACCCUGGUUUCAUUCAGUGUUAAAUUAAGGAUGCCUCAAGUGUUUUCUCUCUCUCAUUAUUUCGUGCAGUGAUAGGUUGAUGGAUUGAUAGGUGGAUGGAUUGAUAGGUUGAUGGAUUGAUAGGUAGAUGGAUUGAUAGCUUGACGGAUUUAUAGGUGGAUGGAUUGAUAGCUUGAUGGAUUGAUAGCUUGAUGGAUUUAUAGGUGGAUGGAUUGAUAGGUUGAUGGAUUGAUAGGUAGAUGGAUUGAUAGCUUGAUGGAUUUAUAGGUGGAUGGAUUGAUAGGUGGAUGGAUUGAUAGCUUGAUGGAUUUAUAGGUGGAUGGAUUGAUAGGUGGAUGGAUUGAUAGGUCUCAGUGAGAUUGCUGAUGGGUGGUUGCUGAUGACCCUUGCAAAUGCAUACCCAGAUCAGAACACAAGCCCUCUCUCUCUCCCCCUCCCUCCCU